CCUACGGGUGGCAGCAGUGGGGAAUAUUGGGCAAUGGGCGCAAGCCUGACCCAGCAACGCCGCGUGAAGGAAGAAGGCUUUCGGGUUGUAAACUUCUUUUAAGAGGGAAGAGCAAAAGACGGUACCACUCGAAUAAGUCAAGGCGAAAGACGAGCCAGAAGCCGCGGUUAUACGAAGGUGGCAGGCGUGUUCCGGAUUUAAUGGGGGUAAAGGGCGUGUAGGCGGGGUGACAGGUUAGAGGUGAAACUCCGGGGCUUAACCCCGGACCUGGAUUUGAAACUGGUGGUCUUGAGUAUCGGAGAGGCUGGCGGAAUGCCUGGUGUAGCGGUGAAAUGCGUAGAUAUUAGGAGGAACACCAGUGGCGAAGGCGGCCUGCUGGACGGCAACUGACGGUGAGGCGCGAAAGCGUGGGGAGCAAACAGGAUUAGAUACCCGAGUAGUC
rnacentral:rRNA from 1 species